GCAAGCAUAGUUCAAUGGUUAGAACAUUUGAUUCCCAAUCAGAGAAUGCCAGUUCGAUUCUGGUUGUUUGCUCCA
rnacentral:tRNA from 1 species